CCUGUUUAGCCGGUCCGCCCUUGCUGGGGGACCCGAACAUUUUUUUCAUCAGGGCCCGAACCCGCUCUCGGUGGCCCUGACUUGGGAUGCCUGUAAUUU